rnacentral:rRNA from 1 species
UACGUAGGGUGCAAGCGUUGUCCGGAAUUAUUGGGCGUAAAGGGCUCGUAGGCGGUCCAUCACGUCGGGAGUGAAAAGCUGGGGCUUAACCCCAGUCCUGCUUCCGAUACGGGUGGACUAGAGGUAGGUAGGGGAGAACGGAAUUCCUGGUGUAGCGGUGAAAUGCGCAGAUAUCAGGAGGAACACCGGUGGCGAAGGCGGUUCUCUGGGCCUGCACUGACACUGAGGGACGAAAGCUAGGGGAGCGAAAGGG